rnacentral:lncRNA from 1 species
UUUCUGUUGAACUUCUUGUUUCUAUCCGUGUUUCAUUUGCCAACUCUGGUUGAUGUAAUUCGAAUGUAUUUUGCAUUUUUGUCACUGUUCUUUCUAAAAUUACAGGAAGAUAACAAAAUUCAAAGUAAAAUAAAAUUGUUAAAGUAGAGCUAUAGAUGAACCUUGGCAUUUUUUUGCUGUUGCUGCUUUAGUUUCCUUAAGUAUAUCUUAUGGAGUUAGGAAUUCAAAUACUUUAUAUUCCUUGAUUUCUUGUAGCAUUAUAUGCUUCAUCGAAAGGUGUAUCAUGGAUGUUAGCUUCCAACUUAAAUGUGAUUUGGAAAAUUUAGUAAAGAUUGUAUAAGGUUUCCUGUUUCUGAACAUUAUUUCGACUGCAUAUUAGUUGCAGAAAUGGGAUGAUUGUAUGUGAUAUGAUGGAUAUAUAAGCCAAUGUUUACAAGAAGAAAAAUAUAUAAGCCAAUGUUUAUGUAUUCAACUCUCCAAAAUCAGAUAGUUGUAUGCUUCUGUAAAAUAAAAUCCUAACCAUAAGCUACAGUUAGCUAUCAAUACUGAGGGGGGGGAAAAGAGUGAAACACGAACAUGAUUGUUGAGACAAUAACUACAGCUUUUCUUAUACUUUCAUUUCUGAUAACACGCAUCAACAUCUACAGAACCAAUGCCAUCUGUGAUUGUUGUGACAAUAGUUAAUGCACGGGAACUCCAUCUUAUCAUGCUUCGGGUGCCAAAUUCAGCAACGACUGAGGUUUACACGAAUAAAAAAGAACCAUAAAGAAAAUUAGAAGCUUAUAAGAUAUGUUCAACAAAAAAUCUGAGCAGUCAUAAAAGUAAACUAAUGAAACUGAGGAGUGAGGAAAAGGAAAAAUGCAAAUGAGACCAACUUACAAAUUUACAAUGAUCUCUCACUCACAGGGUCGACCUAGAACUGCAGAUAACAGAGCACGUGUAAGUGAAAGAACACAAAGGAGAUAAGGGGAAAAGAGAACACCAAUUCUAGCCAAGAGUAGAUAUGCAAGAAAUCCAGAGAUCAGAAGAAGCAGUUUCAGCAAGAAAUCCAGAGAUCAGAAAAAGUAGGACAUGGUUGGAUAGAGCAAAGAUCAAACGAGACGAUGAAGUAAGACGAUGUAAUUUAAGGAUUACCGCGUCUCUGCUGGUCUUGCCACUUCUCCGCGUGGUCCUGAAAUCCUUGAUUAAUCCCGAAGGUAAUAAUCUGUCCACAACUCUCUUUUCAUGUCUACCUACAACACAACAUCGCAAGACUACAAAUUAAGCUCUUCUUAUCGGUUAAAUAAUCUAUUUUUCCAGAAGGGUUCGCGCUAGUUUCUACCUUAUUCAGCUCCUGAGUUUGACAUCUUUCUCAGCAUUCUUGAGAUACCGAAUCACUUCAGGUUUGGAGUUGAAUUUGAGGUCAUUUGAUGGAUUCACAUAAUGCUAGGCAUGUCCAAACAGAAUAAUCAGAACACUAUUCCACCAUAAAAGGUUGAGUCUUUCUUAAUUUUAGUAGAAGUUUC